rnacentral:tRNA from 1 species
UGGCUCUGUAGCUCAAUGGUAGAGCGGUGUAUUCACAUUAACUUGUCGCCAUUUUUAAUGAAUUUCGGCGAAUGCCGGCGAAUCUACAUGGGACGGUAAGGUUGCAGGUGCAAAUCCUGCCAGAGCAA